CGCGGUCUACUGUGGACUAGACAGUGUUUCAACACUCAAAAGUGUGGGGUAUCUCUCUUACACCUGUUUUUUUUGGAUAUUGAGGUGUGUAACUCCCUCUCGAAAAUAUGAUACCUAUUAAUCUCGUUUUUCAAAACAGUGGUGAAAACAUCCCUCUGCCUUGUGCAAAACCUUUUCCCUCUCUGCUCUUUUUGCACA
rnacentral:rRNA from 1 species